rnacentral:tRNA from 1 species
UAGAAUUUAGUGUAACUGGGAGCACGAAGAGUUUUGGAUUCUUAGGAGUAGGUUCAAUUCCUAUAGUUCUAG